rnacentral:rRNA from 1 species
UGAAUACGAGACGCUACGGCGUCGAAGCAGUCUAUGUCAUACUUCCAAGAAAAGCUCGCAAUGUCAUAAACAAAUAAUGCCUGUACCAUAACCGACACAGGUGGGUAGGUAGAGUAUACUAAGGGGCGCGAGAUAACUCUCUCUAAGGAACUCGGCAAAAUGACUCCGUAACUUCGGGAGAAGGAGUGCCUUAUUUAUAAGGUUGCAAUAACAAGAUCCAAGCAACUGUUUAUCAAAAACACAGGUCUCCGCUAAGUCGUAAGACGAUGUAUGGGGGCUGACGCCUGCCCAGUGCCAGAAGGUUAAAGAAGUUGGUUAGCAUUCGCGAAGCUGAUAACUGAAGCCCUGGUGAACGGCGGCCGUAACAAUAACGGUCCUAAGGUAGCGAAAUUCCUUGUCGGGUAAGUUCCGACCCGCACGAAAGGCGUAAUGAUUUGGAUACUGUCUCGGAGAGGGGCUCGGUGAAAUAGACUUGUCUGUGAAGAUGCGGACUACCUGCACCUGGACAGAAAGACCCUAUGAAGCUUUACUGUAACUUGAAAUUGAAAUUGGACUUUAUUUGCGCAGCAUAGGUGGGAGGCGUUGAGAGUAUUCUUGCGGGAAUAUUGGAGCCAUCAGUGAGAUACCACUCUUGUAAUGUUAGAUUUCUAACUUUGGAUCAUUAUCUGGUCAAAGAACAGUUUCAGGCGGGCAGUUUGACUGGGGCGGUCGCCUCCCAAAUGGUAACGGAGGCGUACAAAGGUUUCCUCUGAACGGGUAGAAAUCGUAUCUAGAGUGUAAAGGCAUAAGGAAGCUUGACUGUGAGACCUACAAGUCGAGCAGGGACGAAAGUCGGUCUUAGUGAUCUGACGGUGCUGAGUGGAAAGGCCGUCACUCAACGGAUAAAAGUUACUCUAGGAUAACAGGCUGAUCUCCCCCAAGAGUUCACAUCGACGGGGAGGUUUGGCACCUCGAUGUCGGCUCAUCGCAUCCUGGGGCGGUAGUACGUCCCAAGGGUUGGGCUGUUCGCCCAUGAAAGCGGUACGCGAGCUGGGUUCAGAACGUCGUGAGACAGUUCGGUCCAUAUCCGGUGUAGGCGUUAGAAUAUUGAGAGGAGCCUUCUUUAGUACGAGAGGACCGAGAAGGACAUACCUCUGGUGUACCAGUUAUCGUGCCAACGGUAAACGCUGGGUAGCUAUGUAUGGAGAGGAUAACCGCUGAAAGCAUCUAAGUGGGAAGCCCACCUCAAGAUAAGUAUUCUCAUC